rnacentral:lncRNA from 1 species
UCUGUAUUGUUAAAUUCAAAUAAGAGCACUUUAGAUAUGUGUGCUUCUGCUGUUGUGCAACUAAAAGUUGCUGGGUUAAGUCAGUCUGCUAUAAGUGGUUUUGUUUCAUCUAUGGAGGAAAUCGUUUUUGAGAUUCACAGUCAGGCCCAGGAUGCAGCUUUGCUCUGUCUGCCUCCACAUGACAUUGCUACUAAAAGGAAAAUAGAAAGUUCAAUUUAACAUUUGGAAAAUCUAUUUACUUUGUUAAAUUCAGAAGCCAAACGAAAGAGACUCUUUACAGAGAAAUGGGGAACUGUUGAACCUACCGAAAUAGUGCUUAGCACAAGAUUUGACAGCAGAAGAAAUAAAACCACAGGAACAUUUGAUCAAGUUGUUGUAACAGAUACAUUUGCUUAUGUUCCCAUUUUAGAAACACUAAAGGCAAUUUUACAAAAUCCGCAUUUUAUUGAUUUGUUUAAACCCAGGCAUGUUCCAAAGGAAGGCGUUUAUGUUGACUUAAGUGAUGCAGCACAUUUUAAAAGUAAUCCUUUAUUUUACACAGAAAAAGAUGCCUUACAAAUUCAGUUAUUUUAUGAUGAUUUUGAGACCGCUAACCCUUUGGGUUCCAAAAAAGGUAUACAUAAAUUGGGUGCUAUCUAUUUUACAUUAAGGAAUUUCCCCCCCAUUUUUAACUCCUCAUUGGAUAAUAUUCAUUUAAGAGCACUCUUUCAUGCACAGGAUAUUAGACGGUAUGGUUUUAAUUCUAUAAUCGAGCCUCUAGUAAAUGAUCUAAAAGUGCUUGAGAUUGAGGGGGUUAAGAAUCCAGUAUCUGGAAGUUGUAUUAGGGGUACAAUUGUUCAAGUCACAGGGGAUAACCUUGGCUUACACAGCUUAUUAGGGUUUCUGGAGUCACUUGGGGCUCAAUAUUGCUGUCGUUUCUGUGUUCUUGAGAAAGAUUGCUUUCAGUUUGUGUUCUCCAAAGAUAACCCUGAGGUUGUACUAAGAACAACAGAGAUGCAUGCUCUGCACUGUAAAAGGUUACAAGAUGACUCUACCUCAUAUUUAUGGCGUCAAACAGGUGUGUUUGUUAAAUUCACUCAAGUAUUUCAACACAGCCA